AAAAGAAAAAUGACUCUCUUUAGAAAAUACAAUGAAAAAAUACCUCGCAGAGGUAUACUGGGUGCUAUGAUGUUUUUUGCUUGUAUGUUUUCAUACGUGAUACGCACAAAUUUGUCGAUUACUAUCGUUGCUAUGGUAAAUGCAACAAGUAAAACUGGAAAAGGUGGUCCUGUUUGUAUCGAAACUUCUCUUACAAGUAAUCAAACUGUCGAGCUGAAAGAUUAUGGUGAACGUUAUGAAUGGAAUCAACAUAUACAAGGUUUAUUACUAUCUGGAUAUUUCUAUGGUGUUUUGCCAGCUAGCGUACCGGCUGGACUUUUAGCAGAAAAAUAUGGAGGUUCUAAAGUUGUAGCAUUCGCCACGUUAAUUCCUGCAGUAUUAAAUCUUCUGAUGCCAUGGGCUUCUAGUAUUCAUUAUGGCUUUGUAUUCGUGCUUCGUUUUAUGAUGGGAUUUUUUGGUGGUGCUGUUUAUCCUGCUCUUCAUGCGAUGAUAGCAAGAUGGGUACCACCUAGCGAGAAAGGAAUGUUUGUUUGGACAAUGCAAGGUGGACCUUUUGGUACGGUUGUAACAUUUUCAUUAUGCGGACAAGUGAUCAGCGCAUUUGGUUGGAAAGCAGCUUAUUACGUUACCAGUGGACUUAUGUUAAUUUUCUAUGCACUCUGGGUCUAUCUAAUUUAUGAUACACCUGAUGUUCAUCCAGGAAUCACUCCAAAAGAAAAAGCACAUAUAAAAGAACAAAUAGGCACUUCAAUAUCGAAACAAAAGAAUCCAUUACCCGUUAAAUCUGUUGCCACGUCUAUACCAUUCUUAGUUUUAUUAUGGGCACAUUUUGCAAACAUGUGGGGAAUAUAUUUCAUCGCAACCAAUGGUCCAAAGUAUACUUUGGAAGUACUUGGAUUCAAUAUGAAAUCGGGUGGAUUUCUUACAGGUUUACCUUACAUAGCCAGAUUAGGUGCUGGAGUAUUGUUCGCUGCUUUGGGUGAUUAUAUUAGAAGGAAAAAUAUUUUAACAUUAGGUUGGAUUCGUAAUAUAUUUAUGCUCUCUUCACACGUGGGUCCAGCUCUUGCCUUACUCGUUAUGACUUAUGCUGGAUGUGACUCAACAACAGCAAUUGUUAUGUUAAUCUUAGCAUUGACUUUCAACGGUGCCGCAUGUCAAACUAAUUUGGUUAAUCAUCAAGAUCUUGCACCAAACUUUGCUGGUUCUUUAUACGGUGUUAUGAAUACAUUUGGUAGCUUUCCUGGAUUUAUUAUUCCAGCAAUUAUCGGUGCUUUAACUAAUGAAAGAAAUGGAAUAGAAGAAUGGCGUGUUAUGUUUUGGAUAUCAGCUGGUGUAUUUAUCUCAGCAACUAUUUUGUUCUGGAUAUUUGGAUCUGCACAAAUACAACCGUGGAACGAUUUGAGUAAUGUUAAACCUGUUGACAUAUCGGAAGAAGAGAAACAAAUAAAUGUAACAGAAUUACCAAUGAAAGAAUUACAGACUGAGACUACUGAAAAUGCAACUGAAAGCGAACGUCUGUAAAAUGAUGUAUUAACUAUUUGAUGAUGAUUUACAAUCUAGUGUGUGAAUUUGUGAAUUACAUUUUUAUUAGGAUUUUAUACAUGGAUUUUGCUAUAUAUACUAGAGGUACACCGCCACACGUAGCUGUGGCUCACAAUCAGUCCGAUACACAUGUCUCUUUAAGUCAACAAAUUACCUUAUACCACCAUCUGUUAGA